AGCCCCGACUCCCCAUCCACCGCCUCCACCUCAUGGGCCACCGGGUCCACCCUCGAUGUCCAGCUUGGCGACAUCAUUGACCAUGGUGUCGACGAGCUCCGCCUCCUGCACCCCCUCCGCCUCCUCGCCCCUUCUGCUGAGGUCCGCGUCGGCGCAUUCCUGCCAUAGUCGGCAACCAAUAGGAGCAUAAAACUGGAGCUAGGGAUUGCAGAUGUUGCAGGUACAUGUCAUACAUGAAUGGACAUGAACAGGCACUCCCACUGAGGGCGCUUCUUGGCUUCGUCUGCAGAGGCUUGCUGAUACUUGGCAUAGGAUAUUGUUAAUUCCAGUGACUGGUGGAGUAGUUGUGGGCCACUUCUCAAAAUUGUUCCACAACACAAUAUUUACCAAUCUAUACAUCCAUACAUCAUUCAGGAAUGCUAGAUCUUGAUAGCGAGACAACGUUCUUCGGCGUUUUUAUGGUCAUGGAGCGAGCGUCUUGCUAAAAGUAGUUACACAGGUGAUCGUUUGAAGGAAACUCAAGUUCAAGGACCCAUGAGUAUCCGAGAAAAAACUCCCAAGAAAUCUUCCCAAAACUGAAUGUUGCCUUCUACCAUCAACAACCUUUGAAGUUCUAGGGUGUUUAUUUUUGUAUGCUCUCUACAAUUAUGUAUAUAUAUGCUUCUUCAUCCUUUUCAAGACAAUUUUAUAAAUAUAACAACUUAAUUUCAAACGUUGAAACACGAUAAUUUACCUAACUCUAUUUAGAUGAGUAUAUGUAUAUUUUGCUCAAAAUGUUAUCACUUAUAUUACAAUUUUUUGCACGCGCGCAAUGCGCGCACCAGCUACCAGUAGCAAAUCGUUGAUCGUGUUUCUGGAAGACGAAGUCCCUGACAUGAAUAACUAUAUGAAAAAAUAUAUUAGAAAAAAAGAUAGCAUGACCCAUCUAAAUCAAAAGUCCAUUAAUUCGCGAGAAAAUUGGAUUUAUACCAUUAUGAAACUUAGAAUUCGCUUAAAUGUUAUUACGAGAACACACUUCACUAAGAAAUCAUUAUCAAACGUUGUCUUAGAGACAAAAUGUCAUUUAUAGAGUUAUUUGAAACUUAACCUUAUUUGAUUAUAUUGGCAGUGAC